rnacentral:lncRNA from 1 species
UCAUCAAUCAGUUAUCACUCUGGUUGCUAUCAUUCACAUUCUUGAGCUCUAGGACCAUGAAUAGUAAUCAGUUCAGAGUCCACAGACCACUGAACCCGGUCCCAUAAUUGCAACCCAAUAUCACACCAAAACUCUAGUAGUUCCCUUAUAACCUCUAUAUCUCUCCAAGGAAAUCAGUGCAUCGGAUUUAACUGAACACUGUGUUAUUUAUAUUUUAGACCCUUUAACAAUUCUUU